GAUGCUGCCUCAGUUGUGUAUCCUAAUUACACAUUUUAGUCUGGAACUUAUUAGAGCUAAUAUUUGAAUACUUGUGCCUACACCUAGUCCAUUUAAUGUCAGUGUAGAUUAUCUGCUGAAUUGUGCACUAUGAGAUGUCAACUUCAUUUAAUUUUCUCUCAGUUCCCUCAAUUAGUUUCUUUUCACAUUCAUGUCUCAAAAUAUAUGAUCACUAUCAAAAAGUCAAAG
rnacentral:misc_RNA from 1 species